rnacentral:rRNA from 1 species
GAUGAACGCUGGCGGCGUGCCUAAUACAUGCAAGUCGAGCGAACAGAUGAGGAGCUUGCUCCUCUGACGUUAGCGGCGGACGGGUGAGUAACACGUGGAUAACCUACCUAUAAGACUGGGAUAACUUCGGGAAACCGGGGCUAAUACCGGAUAAUAUAUUGAACCGCAUGGUUCAAUAGUGAAAGGCGGUUUUGCUGUCACUUAUAGAUGGAUCCGCGCCGCAUUAGCUAGUUGGUAAGGUAACGGCUUACCAAGGCAACGAUGCGUAGCCGACCUGAGAGGGUGAUCGGCCACACUGGAACUGAGACACGGUCCAGACUCCUACGGGAGGCAGCAGUAGGGAAUCUUCCGCAAUGGGCGAAAGCCUGACGGAGCAACGCCGCGUGAGUGAUGAAGGUCUUCGGAUCGUAAAACUCUGUUAUUAGGGAAGAACAAAUGUGUAAGUAACUAUGCACGUCUUGACGGUACCUAAUCAGAAAGCCACGGCUAACUACGUG